GAUCAGCCACACUGGAACUGACACACGGUCCAGACUCCUACGGGAGGCAGCAGUGAGGAAUUAUGCGCAAUGGAGGGAACCCUGACGCAGCAACGCCGCGUGAGUGAAGAAGGCCUUCGGGUCGUAAAGCUCUGUCGAGUGGGAAGAACCUUCGUAUGUUGAAUAUGCAUACGGACUGACGGUACCACAGAAGGAAGCACCGGCUAACUCCGUGCCAGCAGCCGCGGUAAUACCGAGGGUGCAAGCGUUAUUCGGAAUUAUUGGGCGUAAAGAGCCCGUAGGCGGCUUUGCAAGUCAGGUGUGAAAUCCCGGAGCUCAACCCCGGAAGAGCAUUUGAUACUGUGGAGCUUGAGUAUGGGAGAGGGAAGUGGAAUUCCUGGUGUAGCGGUGAAAUGCGUAGAUAUCAGGAGGAACACCGGUGGCGAA
rnacentral:rRNA from 1 species